AAAUCAUCAAUAUUUCAAGGAGGAACGGUAGGGUGGACCAGGCCCCCUACAGCCCGCCCAUAACGCCGGCCCUGCUCUGCUGUAUUUCAAGUUCACCCAGUAAAGGCCAUGUAAUGAGAAUUUACUUACAUUUUUUACAUAGAAAACAUUUGGCACUGAUCCCAACUGGACUGGAAAAAGGAUGGGUUGCCUGGGCAUGGUCAGCAAAGGUGUCGAUGAUGACUCCGAAGAUGAGGUUGAGGACGAUGAUGAUGACGAGGAAGAAGAAAAACCUGUGGGAAAUGUAAAUGGAUUGAUGGUGUUCAACAUGGGCAUUUGCAUACCUCUUUGGAUGGCUUCCGCAGAACAUCCCCCACACCACCUCCACUCCUCAGGCCGUGACUCAGGACAGUGACGAUACACAUGAGGAGGGAGUCACACGACCGCUCCUUGUCCUCAAUCACCACCGCCGACGGCUGGGUGGCUAUGGCAGCUACAGAGGGACAUCAGGGACAUUGUGUAUAUCCACAACAAAUCCAAUCGUCUAACUCACAUCUACAUUUCUCAUAUACAAUACCUCAUGUCAAAUUCUGUCUUGGGGGGGGGGGGGCGAGGGGACACGACGAUUUAGUGAAUUAGGACAAUGUUGUGCAAACAAAAGCUUAACAUCUCACUCCAAAUAAACCUGCAAAUCAACCCUACCACAGCCUGCUUCUUCCCAGCACAGGAACCACUGAAAAUACCAAAACCCAAAAUCCGAAAACAGUUCUCACAAAACAACAGGUCACCAGACUAGUGUCAUUCAUUUGGGUGGUGGUGAUGGUGGUGGAAGCCUACAUGAGGUUUGAACCCAGACACCGUCAGGCCUGACAAGGUCCAGAAAAGGUUGGCUCAGCACAUUAAGGCAGCAUUGAGGUCAUCUUUAAUUUGGGAGAUUUUUCUAAAGAAGUCAACAGUGUCUGUUAGAAUGCCAGGAUCCCAAGGAGCUGCCCCCGGCACCCUCUCAGAGCGAACCCGUCCUGUGCCUGAUGGCAAUUAAUCCCUAACCUCUCCUCCAACCUCCCUCUGGAUCCUGGUCCUCCAGUAGCAGACACACACAGCAACGCCAAACCUCUGUGAGCUUCCCCCAGCCCAGCCAAACCCAGCCAGGCCUAAACCCCUGUGAGCUUCCCCCAGCCCAGCCAAACCCAGCCAGGCCUAAACCCCUGUGCGCUUCCCCCAGCCCAGCCAAACCCAGCCAGGCAUAAACCCUAUGCUUUCCCUAACCCAGCCAGGCCUAAACCCCUGUGCGCUUUCCCUAGCCCAGCCAGGCCUAAUCCCCUGUGUGCUUCCCACAGCCCAGCCAAACCCAGCCAGGCCUAAACCCCUGUGCGCUUCCCCCAGCCCAGCCAAACCCAGCCAGGCAUAAACCCCUAUGCUUUCCCUAACCCAGCCAGGCCUAAACCCCUGUGCGAGUAUGGAAGAAAUUGGCAACGUCAACUACCGCCAGCGAUGUGAUACAGCUGCCUGGUGAAGCAAUUGCUGCCCAGUGGGAAGCACCUCACAACACCGUUGCAUUGGUCAUUCACACCGGCUUGUCGUAACGUUAGCUAAUUGGCAUGUCACGGAGAGAUCCAGAUUCCAUAGGGUGACCAAUACUACAAGUUAUUUCUCCUUUUCCCAUUGAAAUAAACAUCACAUUUUCUUUGACAAGUUUUAAGUUGUGCCAUGCUGUUGUUGCCAGCAUAAACUAGCUACCUGGGAACGAAAGGCUUAUCAGGACGACUGACUGAACAGAAUCCACCGACUCUCCGCUACACAACAUAUGUCAUCAAUUUGGGCACCAGGAGUGUCUGUAUAGCCUCUCCCAGCCCAGACAAACCCAGCCAGGCCCAACCAAGGCCUAAUCCCAUGACUGCCUCAUAGUACAGAUUUCUGUCUGAGUGGAAUUGUGGGAAGCGUCUUCUCUGGGGGAGGACUGGCGCAGGUGGUCUGUGAGGACACAGGAGAACCUCUUGACACACAUGCAAGCCU